UGGGGAAUUUUGGACAAUGGNCGCAAGNCUGAUCCAGCCAUGCCGCGUGCGGGAAGAAGGCCUUCGGGUUGUAAACCGCUUUUGUCCGGGAAGAAAAGGCUUCUNCUAAUACCGGAGGCUCAUGACGGUACCUAAAGAAUAAGCACCGGCUANCUACGUGCCAGCAGCCGCGGUAAUACGUAGGGUGCNAGCGUUAAUCGGAAUUACUGGGCGUAAAGCGUGCGCAGGCGGUUAUNCAAGACAGAGGUGAAAUCCCCGGGCUCAACCUGGGAACNGCCUUUGUGACUGCAUNGCUAGAGUACGGUAGAGGGGGAUGGAAUUCCGCGUGUAGCAGUGAAAUGCGUAGAUAUGCGGAGGAACNCCGAUGGCGAAGGCAAUCCCCUGGACCUGNACUGACGCUCAUGCACGNUUUUUCNUGGGGAGCAAA
rnacentral:rRNA from 1 species